ensembl:ncRNA C07A4.5 ncRNA
CCCGGGCGCCGCCACCCGUCAAAUUUUAUCACGAAAUUGUUUAUUUCUCCACACAGGGUUUCGAGCAGCUGUUUACUUCU